rnacentral:lncRNA from 1 species
CAUAACUGAGUGAGCUAAGUUUUCUGUAGAAAGAAGAGAGCCUUACUUUUAAGGACCAUGGGAAACCCCACACAGUUCAGGAAAUGGAAAACAUCCUUUUGAAACUAAUUGUCCAAAGUUUCACACAACGGCAAAGGAUUUCUGAGGAGAGUCGGACAUAAAAAAUUGCAAGUGUUACUCAGAGAGAAUUAUUUUAAUGGAAGAAGUUGAUUCCGGCCCACAACCCACACCCUGCAGCCUCAAUACAUAUCUUUCUUAUUAACUACCUUCUCCUAUAAUCUUUCUUCAAAAUGCCACUUAAGGACGUCUGCUUUACAGCCCUAUCUAUCUGCAAACAGCAACAUCAACACAAACAAGAUAAAACAAACAAAAACAAAAAACAAAACAAAACAAAAAAAAGCAAGCCAUAUUUGUGCAGAACGGCCUGUUCCUUGAGUCAUCCACGUUCCAGCAGCCAUCAUAGCAUCAUAGAGGACAACUGAAAAAAUAAAUCCCCUCAUCCAGUUCUCAGGGUGUUGUUACUCAAGGUAAUAUAUGUGUGUGUGUGUGUGUGUGUGUGUGUGUGUGUGUGUGUGUGUGUGUAUAAAUAUAAUUGUAUGUGCCUUUGCUUACAGUUUGUGGUGGGUCAUGAAGAGUGAUUCCCAAAACCAUUCUGUCCAUCAACUCCUUUCCUGGACCCUGUCUUCUGCUUCUCCUGCAUAGUUUUGGAA